GGAGAGGUGACAGAGUGGCCGAUUGUGCACGCCUGGAAAGCGUGUGUACGGGUGACCGUACCGGGGGUUCGAAUCCCCCCCUCUCCGCAA
rnacentral:tRNA from 1 species